UGUCUUUAUAAAAACAUUUCUGAUGUAUUAGCUAGAUAAGAAAAAAUUAGUAAAGAAAACUAUCUUUCUCUCUGAAAUUCUGUUCUCCCCAAUCCAAUCUCUACCUUUUGAGAUUUAGAGUUGCUUCCUGAGACCCAAUUAUCACGUAGAUCGUGAAAAAUGGUAUCAGAGCACUCGAUUCCUUGUGAUCCAAUGAAAACAGUUUGAAGCUAAAUUGAAAAUUUUAUGGAAGAAUCCAUUUGCUGAGUGGAGAGAUGCUACGGAGGAUUACACAGCUCAGUUGAAGGACUUCGCAGAGUGUCUAAGUAAACUGAAACCUGAUGUAAAGUUACUCGAACCCUCAUCUGGAUCUACACUCGCCAUCGACAUCCAAUUGGAAGUUCCAUUGACUUAAAAUCAUCAAGUCAUCUCUUUGAAGUUGUUGUAGCUAACCCUAGCUUUCCUACUAAAUCAUUAAGAAGUACAAAGUGAGGUCGAAAAUUCUGAAUUACCAAGAGGGUAAACCAUUCAAUCUUGAUAAUAAAUCUGAUAAUGAUGAUGCGGGUUUUCAAGUUAGAAGGAUUACAAAUGCUGAGGUAUUAUGUAUCCUACACAUAAUUCAAAUUACUUAUGUGGUUAUCGUGUUACCAUUUCCUGAUUACAGCCGUAUGCUAUUUGAUCGUGGUAAAGAAAUUGAAUCUGUGAUGAGGUGUUCUUCUGAUGAUAGAACCAUUUCCAAAUUAUGCAUUACUUCUUGUUUGCUUGUUUGUAAUGGUUGAUUUGCAUGGAUGUUUAUUCCGGAAAAUUUGCUUAUCAACUGAAUUUUGAACGUGGGUACUAAUUAAUUUUGUUAAUUGGGAUUUCAAAUGUGUUGGAGUUUAUUGAAAGUGGAGACAGGUGGGUUGACAUCAAGAUGUUGGAGGAAAUACCUCAGUAGGAUAAGGUCCUCUAUGUUACUACGAUACUUCAAGUGGCAAGGGAAAACAAGCUUGAGAAUGCUCAAGCACUACUUGAGCAACCACUUGUUAGAGAUUUCAUACCACCUACACUUGGAAAAGAUCUUGGAGCUAUUAAACUGUAUAUUUAUUACGUUGAAGGUAAUUCUGAAGUCUAUGAAGAAUCUGUUUAUGAACUUGUUCUUCAUCAAGGGUACCAACUAGAUUCAGAGUUUACAAAUUCAGUGGUGUUUAUAUUGGUUAAAGAUGGUGACAUUGGCUCCCACAUGAAUCAGUUUGCGAAAAUGUCACUCAGAAACAUCAUAACUGGUUAUGCUUGUGAUUGUAAUUUUGAACUGGGGUUUGUUCAUUUGAUUACAAAUAGGGGAGACUGUUUAUAUAGUAUCCUGGAUUCUUCUCAAAAUGUAUUUGAUCGAGGAAAUGUGUUAGAUAGUACGUGGUAUUUCUAUUUUUACCGUUGUUGUUGCGUUUUCGAUCUCAGAGCUCAAUGCAUAAAGCCACUUUCAUUCAAUAUUUCAGCUGUGCACUCUCAUGGGUUAUUCCAUGCGUAUCUUCAUGCUUCUGUUUAUCAACUUCUGCAGCUAGGGACUGAUGGUGAUGUUUGUUUUUAUCGAUUUUCUACCCAGUUGGUUAAAGUCUUGAUUUCAGAUAGCGAUCCUGUAGAGUUCCAUGUUUGUUCUCUUGGAAUUUUCCAAGUCCCGAAAAGAGUACUCGGGCAAUUCAUUGUGCGUCCUGGGCUGUGUUUCCUUCCUACAUAUAUUUUUUGGAUAGUUAUGUUCAUUUACUUGGAGUUCAUAGUGUGUCAGAAUGCUUCGGAAAGAUUCCAAUAGAUAGAGCUGCUGAAAAUAGAGAUUUAAUGGCAGUUAAGAAUCCCAAUUGGAGUUGUCCGGCCACAUAUGACCUUGCACAUCAUCUUAAUUCUUGCGCAAUCAGUAUUUCAACCAUCUUAUGUCAUGGGUUCUGUCAAGUGCAUCCUAAUACUUAUGCUCAUUACUUGGCAAAGCCAUGGGGUGAGGGUAGUAUAUGUUUUGAUGAAUAUAGGUGUUGGUUAGAUUUGUCGUUUAGUGAUCCAAUGGUCUGGAUGUCAGCUAACGAUGGUGUUUCUACUACUGUCUGUCAUGGAUUCUCUACAGAGCGACCCAGAAGCUUUCUGCAUCAUGUAAUAUUAUUUAGAGAAACUUAUGCACCAGCUGGUAAACUGUUCUCGCGCAAAUUGCUGGUUAUGUUGAAUGAUGAUUGUAUUAGACUCCAUGCCUAUUCUCUUGUGUUAAUUCUCAUAGUUGUUAGAAGUUUUUUCUGGUUCUUAUGGAUGGGUUUGUUCGUAUAUGGUUGAAUGCCUCUAUCUAUGUUGUAUGAGAGUCUUACUGUUCGAGAAGCAGUUAUGAAGUUGCAGUUCUAUCAGAGAAUAAUGAGAAUACAACUCAUUAUCACCAUAAUUCACAUUCCAGUUGUGUUGUUCCUGGUGAUAUGCAGAAAGUUGGAAUUGAGGUCGUUUCCGUGGGACUUCUGGGGUGCAGGAAAUGUUCGCUGGAUCAGUGUAACUAGUAUGGGAGUUCACUUCUGCAUGGGAAGAGUCGACUGCAGACAAGUUAUCUUAGAUAAGGACGACAAGUUAAUAGAGCUACAGGGGAGAAAAGGACGAGCUAGAGAUGCCCGGAUAUAUCAAGCAGUUCGACUUCUGGUCAGGUAUGAUAAUUGUAUGAAUAUCACCACUAGUCGUGCAACAUUAUUAUAUUCAGCUCCAAGUGCUUCUAGAUGUAAUUACAAGGAGGAAGAAAGGUAUAUUACACUCAGGCCUUGGCUGAAAAGAGGAAGCAUGACAAUCUGGGCUCUACCGAAUUGUUUUUAACAUCAGUUCACAUACUUGUAACUAUACUAGAUGAGAUUGUAUCAUUCAUUGAGAGACCAUCUACUCAGGUCGAAGGUAUACUGGUACUUACUCAUGGCACUCAACUAAGGGAUCAGUUUUGAUGAUCAAGGUGGACAGGCCGCUGGCAGUCAGCGAAGUUCUAUGUUUGAAAGAAAGUCAAGUUCACUGGUCGAUUUUAAAGCAGUAACUAACAGUCGCAGAGAAAUGGUAGGUGGAAUGAUGAGCCUAGUAGUGAAGUAUUUAAGGACCUCGGAUGCGGUUUUAUCAGCAGUGUGGUUCUGGUCUUGUGAUGAGUCUCUCUCCAGUACUCGAGUUAACUUUUCAUCUCAUAUCCUUGAGGACAAGGAUAAUUUGAAGGAGUGGGAUUUGUCAUAAAAGUUAAUGGCGGAAUUCACUUGUUUAGGGCAGCCAUUUAUCUUGUCUAAUGAUGUUAUAGCUUUGGGGUAGCCUUAUCCAUAGGAUUAUUAGAAAGUUUGUGCUGAUGGCACGUGCUUUGCACGAGUUGCUUUUGGAGUCAUGUUCAUGUCUUUAUAAGAACAUUUCUGAUGUUUUAGCUAGGUAUGAAAAAAUUAGUAAAGAAAAUUAUGUUUCUCUCUGAA